rnacentral:lncRNA from 1 species
GGAAACAGGAAGUAUCUCUCUUCCCCUCCGCUCCUGCUCCAGCGGCACAAUGUGAUCCACUGGCAAGGAGGGACGCCAAUAAGACAUCUGAUAGAUAAGUCUUAUAAAAUAUAUAGAUUUAUGAUAAUUAAGAUUGAGCUAGCAGAUGAGAAUCCUAGUCAUUGGCCAAGCAGCAUUGUACCUAAUACAAGUUUCUGUGUAUUAAUUUGGGCCUAACUCGGGCAGGUGGCUGGGUAAAGCUCACACAUGGCGGUGGGCCUCAGGCGGCUUUUGGCGGAAAGACUUAAUGUAACAUAAUUCUUUUAGUUUUAUUUAAAACAAAUACAUAGUUUAUAAAAUUUUUAUUGAAAUGCUGAGGAUAAUACCUAAGUCUUCAUGCAUGUUUUGACUAUUUAAUAAUACAGCAGUUAAUAUGACUUAGCAAAUACGAUUUAUGUUCUCCCCAAAAUUUGAACAUUCUGUAAUUUUUCCCCAAAUAUGUUUCAGAGAAAAAUUUGCAUAGAUAUAUUUGCUGGUUGGUAUGCAAAUUUUUAUUUCCACUUUGAAUUGGUCUAUGAUCUUUUCACUUUUGUCUACCAUUAGUAUUUUCCAUCUAUAUUCAAAGCCAUUGGAAUAUAACUAGAACACACCAUAAAGUCAAGAUCUGUUGCAAAUUAAAUUUCACUUAAUAUUGGUAAUAUCAGCAUAAAAAUAGGGGUGACUCAGGAAUUGGAGUUACUCCUUAACUCUUAGUGAAUAUGCUGUAUCUAUCUUUCUGGUUUAGUUUUCAAUUUUCUGAUCUACUAAUUUUAAUAAGUUUAUUCAUUUACAAGAGCUGCUGUAAGAAAUUACCAGAGCAUCGUGGAUUAAAACCAUUCCUGAGUCUGAAAGCCAGAAUCAGGAGUUGGCAGGAUUUGUUGCUUCUUGAUUUUCUGUCAGACAACCUAUUAUCUAACUUCUGGCAGCUGCAGGCCAUCUAGGGAAGCCUCCACCUCCAUCUUCAUCUGAUUUGCUCCACAUUUCUUGCUAAAAGCCACAAGAUCAUGCAACAAUAUACAGCUAUCAUAUUGUUAUGCCCAGUUUGUGGGACACCAAAAAGUCCACCACCAAAGAGACAAUUCAUCAAAUGGAAAAACAAAAGUUUCAUUUAUUGGCAAGCUACAGCCUGGAUUCUGCUGGCUCAGGAGCAAAUGGAAUACAGCUUACAGGUUUGUCCUCCCCAUCUUCCUUUGUGUCUGAGAGUAUCCAAAAAGAUAUUAAAUUCUCCAUCAGUAAGAAAAUCCAAGCUGAGCUGUUUCUCUAAUAAUGUCUCUCAUCCUGAGGUCAAGAAAGCUUCUAAUCCAGUCAAGUGAUUUACAGAGGUCCAUCUUUUAAGGAAUAUUUGAGGUUCACUUAGAAAGAUCAGCAACAGGCAAAUUACAGCAGAGUGGUUAAAUAUGUACAGAAGCAGCUGGAUCAGAAACUCAGAAGGGACAGACUUCAAACCCUAACUAUGUCAAAUGGGAUAAAUUGUGACCUCAAAUUACAAAACAGCCAUUUAAAUUUCUAUGUGAACCAAUAAACUAUUUUAACUAAGACAGCAUAAUGCAUUCACAUAGUUAAUGUAAAAUAGUAAAAUUUUAAUUAUUACUAUUUAAGUGAAUUAAAAGGGCAAUAUAUAUCCAAGUAGGCCAACAGAAAUCAUAAAAGGUUAUGAACCAGUCAUCAGUAGCAAUGUCCUGUGUUCAUCUGUACUACACUAACUUCUAUGCACUAUACUUUUUUAAUCUUAUGUUUUAUUUAUCCUUUAAAAUGUUCAUACACAUAUACAAUAUAUUUUGAUCUUAUCCAUGCCCCUAAUAUCUUAUU